AGAGUUUGAUCAUGGCUCAGAGCGAACGUUAGCGGCGGUAACACAUGCAAGUCGAACGAGAAUGAGGGGGCAACUCCUCUAGUAAAGUGGCGGACGGGUGCGUAACACGUGGAUAAUCUACCUUCCGGCGGGGGACAACAGUUCGAAAGGACUGCUAAUACCGCGUACGUCGGCGAGGGCUCAGGCCCUUGUCGAGAAAGAUGGCCUCUCCUUGGAAGCUGUCACCGGAAGAUGAAUCCGCGGCCCAUCAGGUAGUUGGUGAGGUAACGGCUCACCAAGCCAAAGACGGGUAGCUGGUCUGAGAGGAUGAUCAGCCACACUGGGACUGCGACACGGCCCAGACUCCUACGGGAGGCAGCAGUGGGGAAUAUUGGGCAAUGGGCGAAAGCCUGACCCAGCCACGCCGCGUGAGUGAUGAAGGCCUUCGGGUCGUAAAGCUCUGUGGGGAGGGACGAAAAAGCGCGUCUCCAAUAAAGGCGUGCCCUGACGGUACCUCCUUAGCAAGCACCGGCUAACCAUGUGCCAGCAGCCGCGGUAAUACAUGGGGUGCAAACGUUGCUCGGAAUUAUUGGGCGUAAAGCGCGCGUAGGCGGUUGUUUAAGUCGGAUGUGAAAGCCCUUGGCUUAACUGAGGAAGUGCAUCCGAGACUGAAUAGCUAGAGUACGAAAGAGGGUCGCGGAAUUCCCGGUGUAGAGGUGAAAUUCGUAGAUAUCGGGAGGAACACCGGCGGCGAAGGCGGCGACCUGGUUCGAGACUGACGCUGAGGCGCGAAAGCGUGGGGACAAACAGGAUUAGAUACCCUAGUAGUCC
rnacentral:rRNA from 1 species